rnacentral:rRNA from 1 species
AGCCGCGAGGCAGAGCAAAUCUCAAAAAGACCGUCCCAGUUCGGAUUGCAGGCUGCAACCCGCCUGCAUGAAGUUGGAAUCGCUAGUAAUCGCGGAUCAGCAUGCCGCGGUGAAUACGUUCCCGGGCCUUGUACACACCGCCCGUCACACCAUGAGAGUCGGGAACACCCGAAGUCCGUAGUCUGACCGCAAGGGGACGCGGCCGAAGGUGGGUUCGAUAAUUGGGGUGAAGUCGUAACAAGGUACC